GCCCCCGUAGCUUAAUGGAUAAAGCAACUCUCUUCUAAGGAGUUGAUGCGGGUCCGAUUCCUGCCGGGGGUA
rnacentral:tRNA from 1 species